GCAGAUAGGUGCUAGGCGGUAUGAUUUCGGCUCAUAAUAUGGAGAUUAAA
rnacentral:tRNA from 1 species